rnacentral:rRNA from 1 species
GAUGAACGCUGGCGGUGUGCCUAAUACAUGCAAGUCGAGCGAACAGACGAGGAGCUUACUCCUCUGACGUUAGCGGCGGACGGGUGAGUAACACGUGGAUAACCUACCUAUAAGACUGGGAUAACUUCGGGAAACCGGAGCUAAUACCGGAUAACAUGUUGAACCGCAUGGUUCAACAGUGAAAGACGGUCUUGCUGUCACUUAUAGAUGGAUCUGCGUCGCAUUAGCUAGUUGGUAAGGUAACGGCUUACCAAGGCAACGAUGCGUAGCCGACCUGAGAGGGUGAUCGGCCACACUGGAACUGAGACACGGUCCAGACUCCUACGGGAGGCAGCAGUAGGGAAUCUUCCGCAAUGGGCGAAAGCCUGACGGAGCAACGCCGCGUGAGUGAAGAAGGUCUUCGGAUCGUAAAACUCUGUUAUUAGGGAAGAACAAAUGUGUAAGUAACUAUGCACGUCUUGACGGUACCUAAUCAGAAAGCCACGGCUAACUACGUG